rnacentral:rRNA from 1 species
GCCUGUGAACAAAUCACCCAUAACGUGCCCAAUCUUGUCAGAUCUCAGAAGCUAAGCAGAUUUUGAGCCUGUACAGUUAUUGUAUGGGAGACUGCCAUGCGUAACAGGUGUUAUGGGCC